UACGGAGGGUGCAAGCGUUAUCCGGAUUUACUGGGUUUAAAGGGUGCGUAGGCGGCGCGGUAAGUCGGAUGUGAAAUCUCGGAGCUUAACUUCGAAACUGCAUUCGAUACUGCCGUGCUUGAGGACUGGAGAGGAGACUGGAAUUUACGGUGUAGCGGUGAAAUGCGUAGAUAUCGUAAGGAAGACCAGUGGCGAAGGCGGGUCUCUGGACAGUUCCUGACGCUCAUGCACGAAGGCUAGGGUAGCGAACGGG
rnacentral:rRNA from 1 species